GAAGAUGGGUCUUGUUGGAGUGAAACAUCAGGUGAAUGAAUGUAGGGUUUUGUCUGGGUCAGUCACUGUAGCAGUACUUGGUAUCAAGACCUCAGUCACUGUUUCCCCAUCCAACUUUAUUUUCUAAAGAAGAAGGAAGUUUGGUGGACUUAUAAAGCAGCAAGCCUGAUGUCUCUCUCACAGUGAGGUGACCUGUGCUGGACACAGAGUUCCAGAUAGGAUUGUCUCCCAGCCGUGUUGACACUGACAGGACCUCACUGGCCCACCACGGGAUGUUCUGCACAGACAGUUUGCUAGAACUGACUCACUGCACAGCCCCAGGAAUACGAGUGCUGCUCUCAGCUUGCUGUUGGCCAAACUCACCCACAAGGAGCAUUGCUUUAUGCCACGGAUGAUACUGCGUGAGGUGGAGGAGGCUGUUCUAGCACUUCAUGGCAGUGUACAGGCCAGUUUGACAAACAGACACUGGCCCAGUUUCCCAGCCUCUGAACAAAAACCUGCCCUGGCUGAGGCUCUGCAUCCUCUGAAUCUACAGAGCAGCACGGGGAUGUUCUCACCCCACAGUUCCCUCUAGGAGGAAUCAAACAAAAAAGAGAGAGAAACAGCACAAACUGUGGAGCACAUUUCUGCUGAAGGCUCACCGGGAAGGUCUUGGUGCAGGGUUAUUCAAGAUUGUCCUUGCAGUGCCACAGCUUUAUAUUUUAUGCCCUUUUCAUGUAAGAAACUGAAAGUGUGAAAGUAGGAAAUAAGAUUCUGGGCAGUGUUGACAGAAGUUAGCGUGAUUUGUAUGUAAAAUUAAAAAUUACCUUGGAAAUAUUGCGUAAAAGGAUUAUAACUGUGGAAGCAACCUCAGUAAUGGAAGAGAGGUUUGCUUUCCUGUAGUGGAUUAGGAGAUUUUAUUCUGAAGGUAAGUGGAAAAGAAAUAAAUGGUAUUUCAAAGAUGAGACUAUUCUCUCAGCUUUAAGGAGAGGGUUGAAAGCCAGACUAUCAUCUGGGAUUGCACUCUUAAUUCAUGCAUUUGCAGGUACUAAAUAUUUGAUGAUCACUCUAUGGCUCUCCAAAAAGCCUUUCAU